CUUGGCCUCCCGAGGCUCCCACCACCCUUCUCGGCCCGUUCUCAGCCGCCAGGGGCUCUCUUACCGGCCCUCAUCUCCAGCCGUCCCACGCCUCAGCAGCCUUUCCCGCUCCAGGCGCCUUCAAAGCCACCAAUGGCAGUUCCCGCCGCCCCCAGAGCCCCGCCCACCGGUGCUCAGACCUCAGACUGUACCCUCGGCGCCGGGGACCGCGUGGAGGGGAGCGAAGGGAGCGGAAGAGGCCGAGCGCCAGCGUGACUCCUCUUAGGAGAGCAGGUUGUUUAGGUGGUUUGAAUCUAAGUCGCCGAUUCUGGUUUACUGGUUCGGUUUGUUGUUUUGGUAUUGCCCUGCCUCAGUGGACUCGCUCCCCCGACCCCCACAACGCUCGAAAAUGGGCCGGCCCGGGGUUGGGUGGCGCAUGCGCCCCAGGCCGCGCGUGGCGGGGGUGGGGCCGUCCGGGCUGGCUGUGGAGGUCGCGGGAGCCUUCGCCCCACGCAGAGCCGGCGGGACUCUGGGUUUCCCCACCGCUAGAGUGGGGUUCCGAGUCUCCGUUGCCCUGCUGUGAUUCAUCACCUUCUAAAAUGCAUCCUGACUUAUCUCCACAUUUGCACACUGAAGAAUGCAACAUCUUGAUUAACUUACUAAAGGAAUGUCACAAAAAUCAUUCUGAAAUUUUUUGGUCAUUGCAAUGAUCUUGAUCGGGAGAUGAGAAAAUGCUUAAAGAAUGAGUACGUGGCAAAGAGAACCAAGAGCAGGGAGCAUGGCAAUGCGAUGCGACAGAGACUUAAUUCUCCAGAGGAAUUUGAAAAAUAAAUUAUAUUUCUACGGGAUGCCUUGCCUGAGAGAAGACCUAAAGGUUCUUGGUUGAUAGCUGAAAAAUCUUAGUAGAUCUCUGUGAUCUUUUGACUAGACAGUGUGUCCCAUUUUUGAACCAUGGAAUAAUAUGGGAUCCUACACUUGCCUGUAAAAGUAAUAGUAUCUCUCCCUCCUACUAACAGACUCGAUUUCUAACAUGUUCCUUACCUUUGUUUGUAGCCAAUUCACCUCUGAGUAACUUAUCUCCCUCAAUAAAUUAAUGUAUUUUGAUCAUGUUUCCUUAUUUCUCUUAGACUAUCCUGGAAUUAGGGCAAGAUGGUGCUGUUAGGCUUCCCUUUAUGACAGUGUGAUGAUUCUGAAGCUUAAAUAUUGAAGGCACGUGCUAGGGCAAAGGAGUUGUAGAGAAAUCACAUCCAUGUUAACUAUAGGAAAAUGUUCUAACUUUAUUGUUUUUAUUUUUUGUUAUUUUUAAAUUAUAUUUUUAAAAAGAUACUUAGAUUACAUAAAUGUUCUAUAAAAACUAUACAGGGAUUCCCAUAUACCCUGCUCCCUAGCCCUCCCACAUUUUCCCACAUAACAACAUCCUUCAUUAGUGUGGUACAUUUGUUACAAUUGAUGAACACAUUUUAGAGCAUUGCCACUAAGCAUGGGUUAUGCUUUACACUGCUCUCUCCCACACAUUUUUGUAAGUUAUUACAAGAUAUAUAAUGGCCUGUAUCUGUCAUUCAGGACAAUUCUCAAGUCCCAAAAAUGUCCCCAA
ensembl:lincRNA